GACGAACGCUGGCGGCGUGCUUAACACAUGCAAGUCGAACGGUGAAGCGCCUUCCUUUUUGGUGGGUGUGGAUGAGUGGCGAACGGGUGAGUAACACGUGAGUAACCUGCCCCCUUCUUCUGGAUAACCGCAUGAAAGUGUGGCUAAUACGGGAUAUUCUGGGUCUGUCGCAUGAUGGGUCUGGGAAAGAUAUUGUUUCGGUGGGGGAUGGGCUCGCGGCCUAUCAGCUUGUUGGUGGGGUGAUGGCCUACCAAGGCGGUGACGGGUAGCCGGCCUGAGAGGGUGGACGGUCACACUGAGACUGAGACACGGCCCAGACUCCUACGGGAGGCAGCAGUGGGGAAUAUUGCACAAUGGGCGCAAGCCUGAUGCAGCGACGCCGCGUGAGGGAUGGAGGCCUUCGGGUUGUGAACCUCUUUCGCCAGUGAAGCAGGCCUGCCUCGUUUGUGGGUGGGUUGACGGUAGCUGGAGAAGAAGCGCCGGCUAACUACGUG
rnacentral:rRNA from 1 species